GACGAACGCUGGCGGCGUGCCUAAUACAUGCAAGUAGAACGCUGAAGGAGGAGCUUACUUCUCUGGAUGAGUUGCGAACGGGUGAGUAACGCGUGGGUAACCUGCCUGGUAGCGGGGGAUAACUAUUGGAAACGAUAGCUAAUACCGCAUAAGAGUAGAAGUUGCAUGACAUUUACUUAAAAGGUGCAAUUGCACCACUACCAGAUGGACCUGCGUUGUAUUAGCUAGUUGGUGGGGUAACGGCUUACCAAGGCGACGAUACAUAGCCGACCUGAGAGGGUGAUCGGCCACACUGGGACUGAGACACGGCCCAGACUCCUACGGGAGGCAGCAGUAGGGAAUCUUCGGCAAUGGACGGAAGUCUGACCGAGCAACGCCGCGUGAGCGAAGAAGGUUUUCGGAUCGUAAAGCUCUGUUGUAAGAGAAGAACGAGUGUGAGAGUGGAAAGUUCACACUGUGACGGUAUCUUACCAGAAAGGGACGGCUAACUACGUGCCAGCCGCCGCAGUAA
rnacentral:rRNA from 1 species